GUGCUUGCUUCAGCAGCACAUAUACUAAAAACGUGGAACUAUAUAGAGAUUAGUAUGGCCCCUGCACAAAGAUGACAUGAAAAUUAGUGAAGUAUUCCAUAUAAAA